rnacentral:rRNA from 1 species
UGGCGAACGGGUGAGUAACGCGUGAGUAACCUGCCCUGGAGUGGGGGACAACAGUUGGAAACGACUGCUAAUACCGCAUAAGCCCACGGAUCCGCAUGGAUCUGCGGGAAAAGGAUUUAUUUGCUUCAGGAUGGACUCGCGUCCAAUUAGCUAGUUGGUGAGGUAACGGCCCACCAAGGCGACGAUUGGUAGCCGGACUGAGAGGUUGAACGGCCACAUUGGGACUGAGACACGGCCCAGACUCCUACGGGAGGCAGCAUG